UUUGAUUUCGCCCUGCAAUUCAGUCUUAAAAGAUUGAGCUUGGUCUGGUGAUAGCCGGACUACAUCUACGCAGUAGUCACUGUGUAAUUAUGAGUUAGACCCAAACAGCUGCCCUGCUGGAGGUCAACCCCGAGUGAAAACGUAACAUGUUUAGCUUGUCGUUGCUGCCACGCUCACCAUUCAGACACCAACCUGUUCAUGCCGGGAAGGUUACCCCAGAAGUAGCGGGCGCGGUGGGCAGCAGACACUUCCUUGGCAUCGAUCAUCACUGGGUUGCACUGAAAUCCAAGUAAAGCAGAGAAGAAAAGACACCAGGGACCAAGCAAAAAAAAACUCACAUGUUUGCGUGUGACAUUCCUCACAUCACCAACAUACAUGAUGCGACCCUGAUGCCGGACGAUACCCACGGUGAUGGAGUCUUCGCACACUUCAGAAGCUACAUAGCGAUCCACUUGGAUGCCAAGUUCUUUCAGCACCAAAAGCCCUGCACAGGUCAAAGGUCAGACAGAACAUAGAAAACUGAGGACACCAAAACCGAUAAACUGCACGAGAAAAGGCAAAAACUGAUGUGUAGCUGAGUAGCUGCCCCUGAUUUGAAAACAAAUCAUAUGCUGAGUAGUACUGAAAAUGACCACUCAAAUCCUCCAUGUAAUACUCUCACUACAGUAUCUGAAACAUGCUCAACCUACAUUUGUCUCCCCUCAGCAAUAUAAUGCUUUAAUACCAGUCACAUAUUGACUACUACCCACCUCCGCAGCGCUGUGGAGGAAGGUCUGGCAAUACGAGACUACAUAUUGACUGAUAAACUCUUACAAUGACUAUGAUGGUGUUAUUAGAUUAAAUUGUAUGUGCAAUUCUUGAUGGCCAACAAAGUUAUUACUAGGAAAGUAUUACAUUUAAAUGAUUCAUUAUAGUAUAUAUCGUGACAUGGAAGUCAACUAAAAGGAUGACUUUCAUUUUACUGUGAUCAAAAUGAUUAUUUAAAUGUUGUGUUUAAAGG